rnacentral:rRNA from 1 species
CAGCCGCCGCGGGAAAACGAAGGGGGCUAGCGUUGUUCGGAUUUACUGGGCGUAAAGGGCGCGUAGGCGGACUGAUAAGUCAGGGGUGAAAUCCCAAGGCUCAACCUUGGAACUGCCUUUGAUACUGUUUGUCUUGAGUUCGAGAGAGGUAAGUGGAACUGCGAGUGUAGAGGUGAAAUUCGUAGAUAUUUGCAAGAACACCAGUGGCGAAGGCGGCUUACUGGCUCGAAACUGACGCUGAGGCGCGAAAGCGUGGGGAGCAAACAGGAUUAGAUACCCCAGUAGUCCCUGUCUCUUAUAC